GACGAACGCUGGCGGCGUGCUUAACACAUGCAAGUCGAACGGAAAGGCCCUGCUUUUGUGGGGUGCUCGAGUGGCGAACGGGUGAGUAACACGUGAGUAACCUGCCCUUGACUGUGGGAUAACUUCAGGAAACUGGGGCUAAUACCGGAUAGGAGCUCCUGCUGCAUGGUGGGGGUUGGAAAGUUUCGGCGGUUGGGGAUGGACUCGCGGCUUAUCAGCUUGUUGGUGGGGUAGUGGCUUACCAAGGCUUUGACGGGUAGCCGGCCUGAGAGGGUGACCGGCCACAUUGGGACUGAGAUACGGCCCAGACUCCUACGGGAGGCAGCAGUGGGGAAUAUUGCACAAUGGGCGGAAGCCUGAUGCAGCAACGCCGCGUGCGGGAUGACGGCCUUCGGGUUGUAAACCGCUUUCGCCUGUGACGAAGCGUGAGUGACGGUAAUGGGUAAGAAGCACCGGCUAACUACGUG
rnacentral:rRNA from 1 species